CACCAGGGAUUCCCUUAGUAAGGGCGACUGAACCGGGAAGAGCCCAGCGCAUAACCUCGCGUCUUAACNCNGGCGCGAGGGGUGUUGCGUUUCGGAGGGUCCGGCACGCCGUCCCGUACCGCCUAAGUCAUGCUUGAAAGCGGCCACUACCCGGGGAGGGUGACAGGCCCGUAUGGCGGCGCCCGUGAGGGUAAGGACGGGGCGGUCGGAAAGGGCCUCUCUGAAGAGUCGGGUUGCUUGAAAGUGCAGCCCAAAGCAGGUGGUAAACUCCAUCUAAGGCUAAAUAUGACCACGAGACCGAUAGCGAACAAG
rnacentral:rRNA from 1 species